GCCCUUACGACCAGGGCUACACACGUGCUACAAUGGCGCAUACAAAGAGAAGCGACCUCGCGAGAGCAAGCGGACCUCAUAAAGUGCGUCGUAGUCCGGAUUGGAGUCUGCAACUCGACUCCAUGAAGUCGGAAUCGCUAGUAAUCGUGGAUCAGAAUGCCACGGUGAAUACGUUCCCGGGCCUUGUACACACCGCCCGUCACACCAUGGGAGUGGGUUGCAAAAGAAGUAGGUAGCUUAACCUUCGGGAGGGCGCUUACCACUUUGUGAUUCAUGACUGGGGUGAAGUCGUAACAAGGUAACCGUAGGGGAACCUGCGGUUGGAUCAC
rnacentral:rRNA from 1 species